rnacentral:lncRNA from 1 species
GCUAGGUAUUCCUGCUGUAACCUUCGGCCUUCCGGUGGGGUUACUGCUCUCAAAAUCUGAAAUAUUUAAACUAAAACAUGAAAAGUAUUCCUAUCAUUAUACUGGUGGGCGCCUAUUUAAACUAAGACUGAAAAUAUUCCUCUCGUUAUACAGGUGGGCGCCUAUUUAAAUUAAGACUGAAAAUAUUCCUCUCGUUAUAGAGGUGGGCGCCUAUUUAAACUAAGACUGAAAAUAUUCCUCUCGUUAUACAGGUGGGCGCCUAUUUAAACUAAGACUGAAAAUAUUCCUCUCAUUAUACAGGUGGGCGCCUAUUUAAACUAAGACUGAAAAUAUUCCUCUGGUUAUACAGGUGGGCGCCUAUUUAAACUAAGACAUGAAAAUUAUUCCUCUCGUUAUACAGGUGGGCGCCUAUUUAAACUAAGACUGAAAAUAUUCCUCUCGUUAUACAGGUGGGCGCCUAUUUAAACUAAGACUGAAAAUAUUCCUCUCGUUAUACAGGUGGGCGCCUAUUUAAACUAAGACAUGAAAAUAUUCCUCUCGUUAUACAGGUGGGCGCCUAUUUAAACUAAGACAUGAAAAUAUUCCUCUCGUUAUACAGGUGGGCGCCUAUUUAACAAAGAUUGAAAAUAUUUCUCUCGUUAUACAGGUGGGCGCCUAUUUAAACUAAGACAUGAAAAUAUUCCUCUCGUUAUACAGGUGGGCGCCUAUUUAACUAAGACUGAAAAUAUUCCUCUGGUUAUACAGGUGGGCGCCUAUUUAAACUAAGACAUGAAAAUAUUCCUCUCGUUAUACAGGUGGGCGCCUAUUUAAACUAAGACAUGAAAAUUAUUCCUCUCGUUAUACAGGUGGGCGCCUAUUUAAACUAAGACUGAAAAUAUUCCUCUCGUUAUACAGGUGGGC